rnacentral:rRNA from 1 species
AGUGAACGCUGGCGGUAUGCCUAAAACAUGCAAGUCGAACGGAAGGACAGGGAGAGCUUGCUUCUGCGGGUGGCGAGGGGCGGAUGGGUGAGGAGUAUAUAGGCACCUACUUUUUCGUGGGGGAUAACGUGGGGACAAUGAUGCUAACAGCGCAUACGAUCAACGGGUGGAAGCAGGGGAGCAUCAGGCCUUGCGUGAAUGAAAUAGCCGAUGCCGGAUUAGCUAGUUGGGUGGGUAAAGGCCCACCAAGGCAACGAUCCGUAGCCGGUCUGAGAGGAUGAUCGGCCACACUGGAACUGAGACACGGUCCAGACUCCUACGGGAGGCAGCAGUAGGGAAUCUUGGGCAAUGGGCGCAAGCCUGAUGCAGCCAUACCGCGUGAGUGAUGAAGGCCUUCGGAUUGUAAAGCCCUUUUGUUGGGGAAGAAAAACGGCGGGUGUAUCCCCGGCUGUUCUGACGGUACCCAAUGAAAAAGCACCGGCUAACUUCGUG